rnacentral:misc_RNA from 1 species
CAAACCCACACAUAACAUUUGUUUAUGUGGUGAUGGGUCGCAUCGCUGUUUUAUUACAGUGAGCACCUAAAAUGUGUGUGAUUUUCUGUCUGGCUUGCUAGGCAGGAAUAUUACGCUGGUCUCAGGAUCUUUUUUUUGGUUCGCCCAGGAAGUAAAGUACAAGAGUAUAAUCCAGUAACUUUCAAA